UUUGAGGAUCUUAUGAAACGUACUGAACCAAAGCACGAUGUCAUACAAAAUCGUCUCAAUGACCUCUUCAAUUCCCUAUCGAUUGACAACAAGACUCCACAGAAUGCCG
rnacentral:sRNA from 1 species